rnacentral:lncRNA from 1 species
CGGCAUUUUUUUCGAGCACUGAUUGAAAGCGUUAGAUAAUCCGUACGACGUUUUCCUUCCUCACGUUUUUCUUCCAAAAAUGUUAUUUGUGUGGUAACCUAGCCUAUAAUUUCUACUUGGAAAUUUCAGCUGAUCAUGUGGCCUACAUUUUGCCAAGAUGUCGUCUCUUUUUCCUGUACGUACCGGCUGUACAUUUUGUAAGAAACACUUCAGAACAAAUCAGUCUGGUAAAGUUUGAGCUUUGUUGUUGCUGCCCAAUGUACAUAUGGAUUUGAUGCAGCCAGCUGGUAAAGGGUGUUCCUCUUGCUACCUGUAGGCUACUCUGCUACUGCUGUUUGUUUUGUCAAAUGGAGAAACAUAAGAAACUGAAGUUUAGUGUUUCAUGUUCGCGUAGUUGCUGUCCGAUGUGGCACGUUGUUGAAGCCUAUGCUGGUGAAAGAUCUUUCUACAUCAAGUUCAAUUGGCCGUUCCUUGUUGCUGAUGUUGUGUUACCGAAGUUGCAUUAUAUUUUGUUAAAUUGUCAUCGUGACUAUUGCAGUUUACCGUUGUAUGU